CCCCUUCUUGCUGUGUGUCCCGGGCCCAGUGAGCAGGGCUGCGGUGUCUCUGGAGGAGUCCCUUGGCUUGCGGCGAAGGGAGGCUGUGAAGGCCUGUGCCCGUGGUCUGCAGUGACAUGGGGACGCCCGGCAGGGGUUGCGGGGAGCCGGCCACUUGUGCUGGAGGCUGGAAGGACCAUGGAGCCGAGCAGAUGGCCGCACCUGCUGCCUUGUGCUUCGCUGUAGAGUUCUUGAAGGCUCCUUCUGGAACCAGAGAAGACAGCUGUCUGCAGUCC